UUAAAAUUAGUUAAAUUAUAACAUAAGCUUGUCAAGCUUAAAUUAUUAGGACCUAAUAUUUUAAA
rnacentral:tRNA from 1 species